rnacentral:lncRNA from 1 species
AUAGCCGGCACGACGACAACGGCGACGCGCCUCAGUAGGAGGUGAGAGGCCGCAAUUCCGAAAUGCAGAUGCACCGUGUGGGAGGCCGAAGUUCACUUCCCGUGCCUCCCACUCGCCGAUUGCGGGACACGAGCCGCAGAUGGCGCCUCCGUCGCGGCGCGCGCCUCGCCGAGUGACUCAAUAUCCGCGCUCAGUUGUUUACGUUUGCGUUCGCGAAUCGCGCGGCUCCAGUGCAGAGAGGCCGAGGCCUCCCUCAUGGCCAAAUUUCUCGUCCGCUGCAAGAAACGCACCCCGGCGAGUCCCAGCGAGCCUCCAAGCCCCUCGUCCCGGAGAGCGGCAAGGAUGUGGACCUCACCGAGGAGACCCAGGAGAAGAGACCCCAUUCGGGACCCCACCCGAGGUCUCCCGAUUCUCCAGGAUCCUCCACCUGGACCACCCCAUCGCCGAGCUGUUCAGUUAUUCGGGUAGUGCGCUGAAUUUGUUGGACUUCAGGCCCGGGGCCUUCCUCUCCAAGCGCUUCGGCGGUCGCAAGAAUCGUGGCAACGAUCUGCGCCGCAGUAAUAGUUUCAAGUUCGAAAGGUUCGAAAGGAAGGAUAACGCCGACUCCCCUGGAGGAUACGGAUCUUGUACGCUGCAAAAGCAGAUAUCACUUUGCGAUGAUUACUGUCUUCCUGUUGAUUUUGUAAAUAAAAGACGACCAGUCAGCCUUGGAGCUCAUCAUUUUUCUAGUCCCGAUGGAGAACGAGUUGAAAUAAUCGAAAAUUACUCUGAUCCAAGAGAUUCAAAAGCAUACUUGCAGCCGGGUGAAGAGGCGUCAGCCAAAUUAUAUUCUAGUCCUGACUCAAAGUAUAGUCAACCCUGUGAAGAGAGAUUACGAGCCCUCGAGAGUGCGGGAGGGAGGAAGGCGGAGGAUGGGAGUUCGCCGGCUUGGGCUGGGACGCCGUACUACUACGCGGACAUCCACAAGAUCCGAUCCUCGAAGACGGAAUCGGCGCGUCGGCAGGCGAGCUUGGGGAAGAGCGUGAGCUUGGACACAGCAGACGAUGCCUGGAUGCCGACCCGGGAGCCGAGGAGGACUCCGGCAGUGAGCUCAGGCGCCUUGCCCGACUCCCGACGCAACACGCUCUACAUCCCGGAGCGCGCCUCCUUGGAGGAGUCGUUGGGCAGCGAGCUCCCCUCUGAUGAGGAGCUGGUCGCCGGCUGCCAAGCCUAUGACUGGGACUCGCCCACGCGAAUCCUCGACGAGCUUGAUCUAGACGAAAUGUCGCAAAAGAGACAUGUCUACGAGACCGCCUUCGACUCGCAAGUCAGCAGAUCCGAUGAAGACUCGGAGAUCCAACGGGUGGCGAGCAGUUCGUUCCUGCAAGGGACGCUGGGAUCCCGUUCGAGCGAGAGCCUCCGUCGCUUCCGGCCGAUCGUCUCCUCGGAGUCGGCCGAGUUCUUCCGACCCAACGUCUGCCGGUCGCUGGCCAAGAGACGCCCGAUCCCGACGACGGCGCCCAAGGCUACCAUCGAGGACCUCAACGACGACCUGGACGCCUUGGGCAUCGAAGACCGACUCCAGCCCCAGCCCCAAGCGCAACCCCAACCCUCGUCGAGCACGACACGCGAGACCCAGACUCCGCCGUCCACCACCCCGCUGCCGCCCAAGUUCCACUCCCUCCACUCCAUAGCCACCGCCCAGAGCUCACCGAGCAUCCGCCAAGACUUGUCCCUCUCGGCCAGCUGCACCAACUUCAAGAAGGACGCGAAUGCGCCCGGGGUGCCGAAGCCGCAUCCGCGCUCCGCCCGGCGUCCUUUCCCUAGUUCAACCAAAGUCCUGGAGAUCAAGUCCCGGCCGGAACUCAAGUACUCGAGCACCGAGUCGGUGACGUGCAGUAGCAGCGGGGGCAGCCUCGAGUCGAUCCGGAGUUCGACGAGCGAGGACAACAGGAGCACGACGUCGACAGGGAGUCACAUGUCCAGCAGCAUCAGUUCCAAUAGCUCCGAGUCGGCGAUCCAGAGCUCCAGCUCCAGCUACCACUGCCCGAUCACGCUGUCCAAGUUCUUCCACCAGCAGAACAAGCUCCACAUCCUCUCGCCGAUCUCGGACAAGUCGUCGCAGGAGCCGUCAGAGCGCUCGUCUGAGGACAACCGGGUGGCCUCGCAGAGGAACUCCCCGAAGACCUGCUCGACGUCGUGGAGGCCGAGGCGGGAGAGACCCUCCAGAAAGACACCAAAAGUGCCAAAAAGCGGGCGCCGUUCAAGAAGAACCUGCCCCACCUGA